ACUCCUACGGGAGGCAGCAGUGGGGAAUAUUGCACAAUGGGGGAAACCCUGAUGCAGCCAUGCCGCGUGUGUGAAGAAGGCCUUGGGUUGUAAAGCACUUUCAGUAGGGAGGAAGGUAGUGUAGUUAACACCUGCAUUAUUUGACGUUACCUACAGAAGAAGCACCGGCUAACUCCGUGCCAGCAGCCGCGGUAAUACGGAGGUGCGAGCGUUAAUCGGAAUUACUGGGCGUAAAGCGCAUGCAGGCGGCCUGUUAAGUCAGAUGUGAAAGCCCGGGGCUUAACCUCGGAAUUGCAUUUGAAACUGGCAGGCUAGAGUCUUGUAGAGGGGUUAGAAUUUCAGGUGUAGCGGUGAAAUGCGUAGAGAUCUGAAGGAAUACCAGUGGCGAAGGCGGCCCCCUAGGACAAAGACUGACGCUCAGAUGCGAAAGCGUGGGAGCAAACAGGAUUAGAUACCCCUGGUAGACUGUCA
rnacentral:rRNA from 1 species